rnacentral:rRNA from 1 species
AGCGAACGCUGGCGGCAGGCCUAACACAUGCAAGUCGAACGAUCCUUCGGGAUAGUGGCGGACGGGUGAGUAACACGUGGGAACGUGCCCUUUGGUUCGGAAUAACUCAGGGAAACUUGAGCUAAUACCGGAUGUGCCCUUCGGGGGAAAGAUUUAUCGCCAUUGGAACGGCCCGCGUUGGAUUAGCUAGUUGGUGGGGUAAAGGCCCACCAAGGCUACGAUCCAUAGCUGGUCUGAGAGGAUGAUCAGCCACACUGGGACUGAGACACGGCCCAGACUCCUACGGGAGGCAGCAGUGGGGAAUCUUGCGCAAUGGGCGAAAGCCUGACGCAGCCAUGCCGCGUGAAUGAUGAAGGUCUUAGGAUUGUAAAAUUCUUUCACCGGGGACGAUAAUGACGGUACCCGGAGAAGAAGCCCCGGCUAACUUCGUGCCAGCAGCCGCCGUAAAAC